GAUGAACGCUAGCGGCAGGCCUAAUACAUGCAAGUCGAACGGUAAGGUCUCUUCGGAGAUACACGAGUGGCGAACGGGUGCGUAACGCGUAUGCAACCUACCUUGAACUGAGGAAUAGCCCAGAGAAAUCUGGAUUAAUACUUCAUAUCAAUAUGAUCUGGCAUCAGAUUAUAUUUAAAGCUUCGGCGGUUUAAGAUGGGCAUGCGUGACAUUAGUUUGUUGGUGAGGUAACGGCUCACCAAGACAUCGAUGUCUAGGGGUUCUGAGAGGAUUUUCCCCCACACUGGUACUGAGACACGGACCAGACUCCUACGGGAGGCAGCAGUAAGGAAUAUUGGUCAAUGGACGAAAGUCUGAACCAGCCAUGCCGCGUGCAGGAUGACAGCCCUAUGGGUCGUAAACUGCUUUUAUAUGGGAAGAAACCCCACUACGUGUAGUGGGC
rnacentral:rRNA from 1 species